GGUUGCCAGUCCAGAAGCUAAACCCGAAGUGUGAUGAUGCCUGCGGGGGAGAAGUCGCCAUUUAUCUCGCGGACUAAGGAAACAAGCAGCGACACAUCGUAGGAAUCGCGUUGUUCAAGAAAGAAGGUAAUAUCGAUGAGGCAGAGUUCAGAAAGGCUAGAUUUGGUCUCUACGUUUAUCAGUAUCACCAGUAUUUCUGCGACUCAAUCAUUAACCCAGAUUUGGGAGCAGAAAUGAGGCCUCUUUAGUAGAGCGCACGACAGUGUCUUUUUCCUGCAAGGGUAAAUCCAUUGUUGCCUUACAACACAGCGUCUACAGUUAGCAUACAAAUGACUUGCAGACAUUUUUUCAUUAUCGCCAGGUAUCCUGGCAAUGCAAAAUAGUUCCUCCUUAACCUUCACGGAGCCCAAGAGGCAGGUGGCGAUGUCAACUGCAAGUCACUAUUUUUCUGCUAUGUCAAUUGCUAUUAAUUUGGAAGAGAACAGAAAUGCUUGCGAUUAAGAGAUUUAGGUACAAUACAUUCACUCUACGAGUGCUUUUAAACAAGCUCUUGAAAGAUGACUGCUUUUUAGUGUGCGUGAAUGUAUUUAUAAAGAAAAAGGAUCUUUUACGACUGCCUCAAAAAUCUUUCACAACAUUGUUUAAUAACUAAAUUAAAUUUCCAAUAUAUUGAAAGAAAGAAUUGAUCCCCCAAUUCAACGCUGCAUUCUACUUCUUGAACUAAAUUUAAAAUAAAAUAGACGCUUUUCUAGUGGCACUUGUAAAUAAUCAAGGCCUCUCAAGUCGGAUCGGUUUAGGAGACAGAUUAGAAUUUUGGGCGUCAUUUCACUGAGCACAUAGUAGGCCCGGAAUAUUGUUGAAGGGAAGAGUUUGCAGAACUAAUUACACGUUACAUUUUUCAGAGCCUGUCAGAAUGUUAGAAGUUAACCUGGUUCGGGAAAGUGGGAACAAAGGCAGCUUAGGAAUUACUCUGAAAACUAACUCGACCCAACCUGCUUUAGCACAGGUAUUCUCAAGCCCUCAGCGACGUUGGAAAAGUUCUUCCACACCAGGGACUGUGAUCCCCACUUUUGCGGGUGCUUCUCCCCAGAGCCUCCUGCGAAGCCCAGUGAAGGAGGUAGAGAUAGUCCUACCUACCAGAAUAAAAUAGUCCUGCUUAUUUUAUUCUGGUAGGUUCUUUAGGGGACGACUUGGGAUCACACAGACCGUUGGUGCAGCUCCCUUGGCACCACGUAGUAACAUCAGUGAGCUUUAUCUUUUGCAUGGUUUCUUAUACACUUAAAAGCACAUUGUUUCCUAUGUUGGAGCGUUUGAAUUCUUGACAACAGAAAUGUGUUUCUAUCCCUGGUCGGUGGGGGGGGUACUUUUUUUUUUCCCCAGUGACAAAACUGAGUUUCGGACAGGAGCCUUGGAUCACUCAGUGGUUUCCGGGACAGCGGACUGGUGAGCACCUUGAUUCUAGAGAACAGGGUCCUCAGAAUGUUCUGGAAGAGGCUGUCAGCCCCCCUGCCCCACCCACCGUGUGCCCAUCCCUCUGAUGUGACAAAAGCAAAGCCCCGGAGCUUCCAGGAGGACCUGGACCUUCGGGUUCCAGGUAGGUGGACUCAGAACCGGUUCUUCCCUUGCACUUCCCCCCUCCCCUAGCAAAAAUUGUGGACAACAACCCUAGUACCCUCUCCAGACAUCCUCCCCCAUCUCCCCAUGUCGGUCUGUCCUACCCUCCCUACACAGCCCUCUGCUGCUCUUGGGGACAUGCUGUAAUCACAGAUACAAUUCAAUUAUCCCUCGGCUAGGAAGGCUCCAGAGAAUCGGAAUCCCACCAACUGCUGGGAAGUGGGUGGUGUGAGGAGAGGGGACCUUUGUCCUGGGAUGCACUUCAGGAAGUCUGAGAAUCUCUCGGAUAUUGAAAAAUUCUAUGCUUUGGGGUGCAGGGGCGGGGUGAUCAUAUCUUUGAUCAGAUUGUGAAAGGAAUCUAUGUCUGCUCAAAAUGUUCAGUAAACUAAAUAUUCAGAGGGCAUAGAAGUCACCGAGCCUGAGUUCCAACAGGUUGUUCCAGUGGCUACUGUAAACCUUGGUCAAUUGUUUUUCUGGACUCACUUGCCUCAUCUGCAAAAGUGCAAAGGGAGCUUUCUGACCGUCUUUACCUAGGGGCUUGGUAAAGACCUUCGUUUUCGCCCGAGGCUGCCUUGCUGCCUCGUGACUUGGAAGCUUGAAUGAAAGGCAAGGGCGCUAGGAGUCCUCCCGGUAUCCUAUCCCAGGUCCUUCUCUUCAAGGGGGUCGGGCGGUGACUGAGGACCUGGUGAGGUGAAGAAACAGAAGUCCUUUUGGCUUGUAAAUAGACACCAAAAUACAAAGCACAAAACCGAGUUGUCCUUGUAAAUUAUAAAGCGCGGGGUAGAGGGGAGGGGGCGCUGUUGACUCAGCCGGAGUUGCUCCGCGGGGACCGCGGGCGGGGUUUGCUGAUCUUAGCGCCGGUGGGAGCGCGGCCCACUACCCCCUCUGCCUUCUCCUCUUUUUACCCCAAAUACCUCACACUCUGCUCCCCUUUCGGUUCCUGCGCUGCUAAGACUCACCUGGUGAGAAGACCCUUUUGAGAAAAUCUGAACAAAAAGCCGGAGAGAAGUGUAUUGGGGGGUGGGGAGUUGUUUUGUUUUUGAUGAGUGUGGCUUUCUUUUUUUUCUCCCAACACCCCCUCCAAAAAUAAAAUAAAAUAAAUAAAAGGGAAAAACACGUUUCAAAUUUCCUCCCGCUCACGCAUCCAAUUCCUCGCUCCAAUGCCACUUGCUUCUGCCCGAGCUUCGGCGGCGGUUGCCUCUCCACUGCGCGGUCACGGAGGCUGGAGUCCCGCUCCAGGGUCCCAGGCUUCUCCCAUUGGCCUUACUACCUUCGACCCCGCUCAAUGAACAGGUCUCCGGGAGUUAAGACUUCCCAGCCCCCUUUUCUCACCCAGGGUACUGCUUGGACAAUCCGUCUUGAAGACUGAGCUAGGGACCUCUGAGCCCCACAGAUGGGCGUUGGAAAACCCAAGGGGAGAUGUGAGGAAGAGCCUUAGCCUUCCCCUGUGCCUCACUUUCCUCAACUGCAAAGUGGAGUUAACCUUAAAGAAGAUGAUACCUGCAGACUGCCUGGACAGUCACUACCUGGCCAUCCUGACCUUUCAGUACUUUUGAGUUAUUUCUAUUAUUUUUGUUUUGUUCUGUUUUUAGAGACAAGGUCCUGCUCUGAUGCCCUGGCUAGAGUGCAGUGGCAUCAUCAUAGCUCCCUGCAACCUGAAACUCCUGGGCUCAAGCAAUUCUCCUGCCUCAGCCUCCCCCAAAAGCUGGGACUACAGCUUCUGCAGCCUCCAGAGAAUGAGGGUGAGGUGUAGGAACCAUCUCCCUCCCAUCAGCCUAACACUUUGCUAAUCAACCUACUGCCAGCACACAGGGUGGUGACUGAUGUUCGGGAACUUCUGGGCAUCUCAAUAGAAAUGGUUUGCUGUGGGCUGUGGCUCUGAUGACCUCGAAUCCAUCUUCCUCUGGUAGAAAGCUACUCGCAAAACAUUGUACCAUUUCAUGACUUAGACCGGCUGCAGACGCGGCAAAAUAAAUAAUCCCAGAUG